GUUUUAACAGGAUUUGGGAGAGGUGACAGGUGACAUCAGUCCAACUCUGAAUAAAAUGACGUAAAAAGUGGGCCAGCUAGAGGAGAAAACACGGAAGAGCUUUGGGCCAUAUGUAGUCCAAUUCAUAGCCCAAAAUGAAUUGGAUCAACAAAGGCAAGAACGUGUAAAGCAGACAGGUGGGCGGCGAUGAUUUCCCAGAAUUGUACACAUAAAAUCUAGGGGUGGGCACGGUUCGGUUCGAUUCAGUUCGGUUUAAAAUUAAGUAGAACCGAUUUAAAUCGGUUAUUUUAUAAAAAGAACCGCAUAAGAACCGAACUAAAAAAGAACCGAACUCAAACGGUUCUUUUCGGUUCGGUUCGGUUUUUUCGGUUCUGAGCCUAUUGGGCCUAUUUUGAAUUUUCAAAUUUUUAACCCAUUGAACUUCAUAAAUGUAAUAAUUUUUUU
rnacentral:lncRNA from 1 species